rnacentral:rRNA from 1 species
GACGAACGCUGGCGGCGUGCCUAACACAUGCAAGUCGAACGGAGUGUUUAUUUAUAAACACUUAGUGGCGAACGGGUGAGUAACGCGUAGACAACCUACCCUCUAGAUGGGGACAACACCGCGAAAGUGGUGCUAAUACCGAACGUUGUAAUGUUGUUGCAUAAUGAUAUUACUAAAGGUGGCCUCUAUAUAUAAGCUACCGCUAGAAGAUGGGUCUGCGUCUGAUUAGCUAGUUGGUGAGAUAACAGCUCACCAAGGCAAUGAUCAGUAGCCGGUCUGAGAGGAUGAACAGCCACACUGGGACUGAGACACGGCCCAGACUCCUACGGGAGGCAGCAGUGGGGAAUCUUCCGCAAUGGACGAAAGUCUGACGGAGCAACGCCGCGUGAGUGAAGAAGGUUUUCGGAUCGUAAAGCUCUGUCUUCAAGGACGAAUGUAGAUAUUGUGAAUAAUGAUAUUUAAUGACGGUACUUGAGGAGGAAGCCACGGCUAACUACGUGCCAGCCGCCGCCGUAACAC